rnacentral:rRNA from 1 species
AGAGUUUGAUCAUGGCUCAGAUUGAACGCUGGCGGCAGGCCUAACACAUGCAAGUCGAACGGUAACAGGAAGAAGCUUGCUUCUUUGCUGACGAGUGGCGGACGGGUGAGUAAUGUCUGGGAAACUGCCUGAUGGAGGGGGAUAACUACUGGAAACGGUAGCUAAUACCGCAUAACGUCGCAAGACCAAAGAGGGGGACCUUCGGGCCUCUUGCCAUCGGAUGUGCCCAGAUGGGAUUAGCUAGUAGGUGGGGUAACGGCUCACCUAGGCGACGAUCCCUAGCUGGUCUGAGAGGAUGACCAGCCACACUGGAACUGAGACACGGUCCAGACUCCUACGGGAGGCAGCAGUGGGGAAUAUUGCACAAUGGGCGCAAGCCUGAUGCAGCCAUGCCGCGUGUAUGAAGAAGGCCUUCGGGUUGUAAAGUACUUUCAGCGGGGAGGAAGGGAGUAAAGUUAAUACCUUUGCUCAUUGACGUUACCCGCAGAAGAAGCACCGGCUAACUCCGUGCCAGCAGCCGCGGCAAUACGGAGGGUGCAAGCGUUAAUCGGAAUUACUGGGCGUAAAGCGCACGCAGGCGGUUUGUUAAGUCAGAUGUGAAAUCCCCGGGCUCAACCUGGGAACUGCAUCUGAUACUGGCAAGCUUGAGUCUCGUAGAGGGGGGUAGAAUUCCAGGUGUAGCGGUGAAAUGCGUAGAGAUCUGGAGGAAUACCGGUGGCGAAGGCGGCCCCCUGGACGAAGACUGACGCUCAGGUGCGAGAGCGUGGGGAGCAAACAGGAUUAGAUACCCUGGUAGUCCACGCCGUAAACGAUGUCGACUUGGAGGUUGUGCCCUUGAGGCGUGGCUUCCGGAGCUAACGCGUUAAGUCGACCGCCUGGGGAGUACGGCCGCAAGGUUAAAACUCAAAUGAAUUGACGGGGGCCCGCACAAGCGGUGGAGCAUGUGGUUUAAUUCGAUGCAACGCGAAGAACCUUACCUGGUCUUGACAUCCACGGAAGUUUUCAGAGAUGAGAAUGUGCCUUCGGGAACCGUGAGACAGGUGCUGCAUGGCUGUCGUCAGCUCGUGUUGUGAAAUGUUGGGUUAAGUCCCGCAACGAGCGCAACCCUUAUCCUUUGUUGCCAGCGGUCCGGCCGGGAACUCAAAGGAGACUGCCAGUGAUAAACUGGAGGAAGGUGGGGAUGACGUCAAGUCAUCAUGGCCCUUACGACCAGGGCUACACACGUGCUACAAUGGCGCAUACAAAGAGAAGCGACCUCGCGAGAGCAAGCGGACCUCAUAAAGUGCGUCGUAGUCCGGAUUGGAGUCUGCAACUCGACUCCAUGAAGUCGGAAUCGCUAGUAAUCGUGGAUCAGAAUGCCACGGUGAAUACGUUCCCGGGCCUUGUACGCACCGCCCGUCACACCAUGGGAGUGGGUUGCAAAAGAAGUAGGUAGCUUAACCUUCGGGAGGGCGCUUACCACUUUGUGAUUCAUGACUGGGGUGAAGUCGUAACAAGGUA